rnacentral:ncRNA from 2 species
CCUAGCAUCAUCCGCGAUGGUUCCGUGCGGCAAAGCCGAUGCACGGAUGAAAAGGGAACACGGUGCGGCGUACCCAUCAGGGGCCAAGACCGUGGCUGCCCCCGCAACUGUAAGCGGAGAGCGGCGCCCACAAGCCACUGGCCAUUUCGGGCUGGGAAGGCGGGCGCAGCAAGGAUUCGCGAGCCAGGAGACCUGCCAUCACGUCCGGCGCACC